UACGUAGGGUGCAAGCGUUAAUCGGAAUUACUGGGCGUAAAGCGUGCGCAGGCGGUUGUGUAAGACAGAUGUGAAAUCCCCCGGGCUCAACCUGGGAACUGCAUUUGUGACUGCACAGCUGGAGUGCGGCAGAGGGGGGAUGGAAUUCCGGGUGUAGCGGUGGAAUGCGUAGAGAUCCGGAAGAACACCGGUGGCGAAGGCGGUGAGCUGGGGCAGUUGCUGACACUGAGGCGCGACAGCGUGGGGAGCAAACAGG
rnacentral:rRNA from 1 species